AUAUCAAAAAGGUUGCCGACCCCUGGUGUAGAGUAACGUUUGUCUGUUCGUUUGUCUCGCUCAGGGAGGUGAAAACAUCAAGGGGGGAGGUGAUCAGCAACAAGGACCUGGAGCUUUUACUGGAUCGCAGCGACAUGCUGGACAAAGGGAAGGGGAGCAUGAAGAAAGAGAAGGGGGGGGUGUUCAGAGUGAUGGAUGCUGAAGACUCUUCAGAGAUCCCUUUGAUCUGAAAACACCUGCAAGCUAUUAAAGAAAAACUAAAGUUGCACCUAGAUGGCUCUUAACCGCCGUCCCUUCCUAAAACUACUGUCUGCAGACAGUAUUGUUUUCCUUUUUGACCUGCCUUGAUAGUCCUCAGUCAUGGUCUUUUUUUGUAAACCACUACCCUUUUAAUAACUAUCAUUUGGGAUUUUGUUGGCUGUCAAUGACAGUUGAGUAUUUGCAUGUGAAAACAUGGUACAGUUGGCUUUUCUUGCUGGCAGUUCAUCAAGACUAUCAGAAGAAACAAAGUUUCAUUAAAAGCAGUACAACUGUUCACAAGGUCUGUGCAUCUUUUUCACAAGACAAAGCUGUUUUAGUCCUUGAUUUUCUUUUGGCCAUUCAUAACAGAUCUUUAACAAUGUUUUAAUCAAAGCACUUUCCUGUAGCUUAAGAGUACAACAAUUAAAAUAAAAUGAUUUGCUUACUUUA